UACGUAGGGUGCGAGCGUUGUCCGGAAUUAUUGGGCGUAAAGGGCUCGUAGGCGGUCUGUCACGUCGGGAGUGAAAACACGGGGCUUAACCCCGUGCCUGCUUCCGAUACGGGCAGACUAGAGGUAUGCAGGGGAGAACGGAAUUCCUGGUGUAGCGGUGAAAUGCGCAGAUAUCAGGAGGAACACCGGUGGCGAAGGCGGUUCUCUGGGCAUGGUCCUGACGCUGAGGAGCGAAAGUGUGGGGAGCGAACAGG
rnacentral:rRNA from 1 species